GACGAACGCUGGCGGCGUGCUUAACACAUGCAAGUCGAACGGAAAGGCCCUGCUUUUGUGGGGUGCUCGAGUGGCGAACGGGUGAGUAACACGUGAGUAACCUGCCCUUGACUUUGGGAUAACUUCAGGAAACUGGGGCUAAUACCGGAUAGGAGCUCCUGCUGCAUGGUGGGGGUUGGAAAGUUUCGGCGGUUGGGGAUGGACUCGCGGCUUAUGAGCUUGUUGGUGGGGUAGUGGCUUACCAAGGGUUUGACGGGUAGCCGGCCUGGGAGGGUGACCGGCCACAUUGGGACUGCGGUACGGACCAGACUCCUACGGGAGGCAGCAGUGGGGAAUAUUGCGCAAUGGGCGGAAGCCUGAUGCAGCAACGCCGCGUGCGGGAUGACGGCCUUCGGGUUGUAAACCGCUUUCGCCUGUGACGAAGCGUGAGUGACGGUAAUGGGUAAAGAAGCACCGGCUAACUACGUG
rnacentral:rRNA from 1 species